AUAAAAAAGUCUUUAUUGUGGAGAAAAAUGUUUAUUUUUAUGCAGAAGGAAGAUGGAGUUGACAGUUUAGACUGUAGAAUGAAUAGCAGUUACUUCUCACUUGUGGUCCCGGCCAUGACAAAGCUGCUCAUUUGGAAUGCUUCUCAGCCAAUGUGAGCAUUGUAUGGAACUGAGAUUUCACUUUUCAACCUUCUGCCUUCAGCUAAUCUACAUCUGGACAAACUGGACCAAGGCCAGCUUCAAACAGUGGGUCCCCGUGGCAGUAAUACUGAGAGUGAAGAUGGAAAUGACCAUGAUAGUGGAAGUGACCACAUUGGGUCACACAAAUUAACAAUGAAAUCAUCAUUAAAAAGGAGAAGAAAAGACCAAACUAUCAACUGAAUCUGUGAAAAAUAAAAAAUAUGACCAGGGGUUGCAAGAAUAGUCAUUUAUCAUGUCAGCUCAAUUCUAGUAGUUAUAUCCAUGAAAUAGAAUGUUAAGGUCACCAUGUGACAUAGAAGAAAUUGGAAA
rnacentral:lncRNA from 1 species